UACAGAGGGUGCAAGCGUUAAUCGGAAUUACUGGGCGUAAAGCGUGCGUAGACGGUUGCGUAAGUCAGAUGUGAAAGCCCCGGGCUCAACCUGGGAAUUGCAUUUGAGACUGCGUAGCUAGGGUGCGGAAGAGGGAAGCGGAAUUCCCGGUGUAGAGGUGAAAUUCGUAGAUAUCGGGAGGAACACCAGUGGCGAAGGCGGCGAUCUGGGAAGAUACUGACGCUGAGGUGCGAAAGCGUGGGGAGCAAACAGG
rnacentral:rRNA from 1 species